AGUGAACGCUGGCGGUAUGCCUAACACAUGCAAGUCGAACGGCAGCACAGUAAGAUCUUGCCCUUACGGGUGGCGAGUGGCGGACGGGUGAGGAAUACAUCGGAAUCUACUUUUUCGUGGGUGAUAACGUAGGGAAACUUACGCUAAUACCGCAUACUUUCUACCGGAUAAAUCAGGAGAUCUUCGGACCUUGCGCGAUUCUAUUAGCCGAUGUCGGAUUAGCUAGUUGGCGGGGUAAAGGCCCACCAAGGCGACGAUCCGUAGCUGGUCUGAGAGGAUGAUCAGCCACACUGGAACUGAGACACGGUCCAGACUCCUACGGGAGGCAGCAGUGGGGAAUAUUGGACAAUGGGCGCAAGCCUGAUCCAGCCAUACCGCGUGGGUGAAGAAGGCCUUCGGGUUGUAAAGCCCUUUUGUUGGGAAAGAAAAGCAGCAGGUUAAUACCCCGCUGUUCUGACGGUACCCAAAGAAUAAGCACCGGCUAACUUCGUG
rnacentral:rRNA from 1 species